GGCUGGUCGUCUGCUCAUUUUUGGAGGAGAAGAUGUCGAGAAGUGUUUCCGUAUUUGCUGCUGCGGUACAGGGACUGCUUGAAUUUGACAUCUUAACAUGAGGAAGAACUGCGAAGUAAUGUAUGCAGAAAAUAAUGAACUGAUAUUCUUGGCAUUUUAUUGUUAGUCUCCAACUGUGAAUAGAGGAAAGAGGACUUAAAUGUUGAAUGUUUCAGAUGAAUUAAAGUUGAAUUGCCUGGAGAAGACAGUGUGGAGAAGUCAAACAAAUUUCAGCAAUUUAUGCCUUGCACAGCCAUCAUCGUUUUGGCAUCGCGCCUUCACUGGACUAGUGGAUUCUACGCUUUGGUAAAUAACGGAGAUGAUGAGAGCCCAUAGCACGUGUUAAGGUUUCUCCCUGGAUUGCUGAGACUGCCAGGGCCUUGAAUGAGGAGGACGCGUGUUCGAAUCCAGCUGUCAUUGCUUCAACGGCGGCUUUCAGACACUAAAUUUGUCCUGAUACUUACCUUGUGUUGUUGGCGAUGAAUCUUGGCAUCAAGAAUGGUCAGUUGAUGAGUUUAACUAAGUAAAUUUGAAGUGUGGCCGCUAUGGCCUCGACAUGCAAUAAGUGCUGGGAGGGGUGCUGACCAUUUUCCUGUAACCUGUAAAACAGAUGAUUCCGGCAAACUAAGUAGGCCAAACACAGAAAUUGUAAACCAGGCUCAAACAAAGCAAACAAAGUAGACGAAGAUGACGAUGAACAUGCGUUUCGCGUAAAUGACAAUGCGCAAAACGGAAUGAUGGUGUUUUCCCUAGGAUCUGAACCGAUAGAUAUCCUGAUCAAUUCAGGUGCAAGUAUAACAUCGUUGACCGGCAUACGUUGGAUAAUUUAAACAGACAAAAACUGAAAUCUACACAUAGCGAAAAGUGCGAAAAUAAUCUACGCCUAUAUUCUGGUAAACAGUUAAGUGUCACAGGCAAAUUCACCGCAGACAUCGUGACUAACCAUAAUGCGGUCGAGGCCGAAUUUAUUGUUUUGAAUGGCCAGGGUGAACCGUUACUAGGCCGCACGACCGAUUGGGUGUUCUAGAACUCGGGUCUGACUGAAAUGCGGUACGGAUUGACAUUGAAUUUUGGAAUAAGUCAUGUUUUGAAGGAGUAGGGAAACUUAAAGGCUAUGAAGCGAAAAUUCAUAUCGACAAGAACGUUCGACCAGUGGUCCAGCCAAUACACCGAAUCACGUUUCACUUGCGAAACAAAGGGGACGUGAAGCUCAAAACACUUGAAGACAUGGAUAUUACCGAACGAGCCGACGGCCCAAGUCACUGGCUAAGCCCUGUACCAAAACCUUCAAGUGAAAUCCGUUCAUGCAUAGAUAUGCAACGCGCGAACUAGGCUGUUAUUCGCGCGCGACACCCGAUACCGACUGUAGAAGAGGUUCUCCACAAUUUUACCGUUAUAAAGGGCUGAUGUUUGGGAUUAGUUCAGCCAGUGAGCUGUAGCAUGACAUUAUGCAGCAGCUACUACAAGGAUGUAAAGGGGCUCAGAAUCUGUCUGACGACAUUAUGAUUGACGCAUGAGAUAUUCGCGAAAACGACUGGCGCCUGCGUAAAGUGCUCGAGCACUUGUCCGAAAGAGAUCUUGCACUAAAUCCAGAGAAAUCCAAUUUCGCAUGUGAGAACUGACUUUCAUGGGAAACUGUCAGGAAAGGGAGUUGGGCAGACUCGCGCAACAGUUGAAGCAGUCGCCGGAGACAGCGCCCCGAGACAGCGUCGGAGGUACGUAGCUUCCUAUGAUUGGUUAAUUUCAGUGCGCGUUUUAUUCCUGACGGUGUCCGAACCACUGAGACUGUUAACCAAGAAAAACGUGUCGUUCUUCUGGGGAGAGAAGCAACAGAACGCAUUCGACAGAUUGAAGCAGAGACUGUUUGAAGCGAAGACUCUUGCGUAUUACCACCGUAAGGCAAAAACGUGUGUCAUGGCAGAGGAGAGCCCUGUUGGACACGGAGUUGUAUCAGGUGACUGAAAGUGGUGAACACAAGGUUGUUAGUUACCCGAUCUGUAGUUUGAGUGACUUGGAAAAAACGUUACUCACAGGCAAAGAAGGAGGAUUUUGCUCUCGUUUGGGCAUGCGAGAGAUUCCACCUUUACAUUUACGUGACUAACUUUGACUUGCUCACUGACCAUAAACCGUUGGAGAUGGUUUACUCCAAACACUCGAUCACGUCAGCUAGAAUUGAGCGCAGGGCACUGAGAUUACAAUCGUAUUCGUUCACGGUUCGCUGUACUCCGGGGAAAACGAAUAUCGCUGACGCACUGUCAAGAUUGACAGAGAUAACGGAAAGAUCUGUGCCGGCCCGCAGAAAGGUCGUGGAGGAAAACAUCAGAAUUGCGGCGUAUUAGGUAAUUUAGUUCUGCGUGGAACGAGAAUCGUCGUUCCAUAACGUGUGCGCAGACAAGUAUUGGAACUUGCACACGAGGGUCACCAUGGUAUCGUUAAAAAGAAUUGCACUUUCGUGGGAAAGUGUGGUGGCCAGGUGUCGAUCGAGAGGCGGAACAUUUGUGCAAGAUUUGUCAACUGUUGAGCCGACCACCGCUCCCUGAACCGACGCAGAGAUCAACAUUCCCAACUGGCCCGUGGAAAGAUUCAUCGCUUGACCUAAUGGGGCCAAUACCGUCCGGAGAUCACAUCAUGGUACUUGUGGACUGCUAUAUUAGGUACUAUGUCGCUGUUGUGGAAUCAACAAUACCUGCCAACCUGAUAAACCAUUUAGACAGAAUGGGUUUCUACCAUGGAAUGUCAUACUCCAUUACAUCAAAUAAUGAUACAAACUUAAUGUCUAAGGAAUUCCAGGAUUACCUGGCAGGAAAAAGAAUUCUGCACCGUGAAGUCACCCCAUUUGGCCACAGGCAAACAGGGAUGUCAAGAGACAAAAAACAACAAUCCUGAAAACCUUACGAAUUGCCCAGUCAAAGCAGACUGAUAAAAAGAGGGAGCUCAACAAAUUCCUUCUUGCGUACAGAACGACACCCUUCGUCACAACCGGUGUGAGUCCUGCUGAACUGCUAUUUGGCCGAAAACUUUGAACAAAGCUACCCGACCUGAAACUAGACAGCCAUAGAUACGAUUCCGAAGUGGCGAUCGUGAUGCGGAGAGGAAGGUGGUCGGAAAAGAUUAUGCAGACAAAAGACGCCGCGCUAAUGAACGCAACAUCGCGGUUGGAGACACUGUCUUUGUCCAACAACAACCUGAAAAUAAACUUUCAGCAACAUCAAGUCGUAGUACAGGCACCUGACGACACAAGCUAUUGUCGCAACUCAACCUUUGUGCGAAAGUAUCGCGAAGCUGAACGCGACAAGGCAUUCGCUCCUGCGAAUGAUGAACUAAUCCCACCACACGCGACGACACGGUGAAGGAACAUUGUGAACCAGAAGCGCAUAUAACACAAACAAGACCAACCCGUGAGAGGAAUCUGCCCUCCAGAUUCAAUGACUUUGCCAUGGACUGAUGUUAAUUCAACUAUUCAACCUUUUGUUUGACGUUUAUAGACUUUCAGGUAUAGUGUCUGGCUGGUAAACAUCUUUAAAGUGAUGUGUACUUUUGAGCUAUGAUCUUAAUAUUCUUGAAUGUUCGGAAUUCUCAAAACGGAACUUCACAUGCUCGUCUAUGUGGACACUGUUGUCUCAUGACAUUUCUUACCUUGCUUGGAGGAAAUCAAUUGUGUUAUUCGGUUAAUCAGUUAGAAGUUUGGUGUUAAUGAAUAGUGUACAUGUCACGCAAGUUAAGAGUAACGUUAAGAAAGCGAUUUGUUUUGUAUUAAUUAUUUUCUAAGAAAAGAAGGGAUGAAGUGUUUCCACCUCUUAUAUUAGAUCCCGUUUAUUAUGUAACCGGAAGUACUCGCGUGUACGCGUAUCUAUGUGUAUCUAUGUGUAGUUGCAUGAUCAGCAUAGUGUGCAGAAUACAUUUAUUUGAUUAGAUUCGAAUUUUUUAGUUUAAUCUGUUAACUUCCAGUAAGGAAACUCAACACUCAAUACAAAUCAUACAUCCGCCGAAUUUUACACAAUUUCCGUUAUUUGCACGUCAUACUGUACACCUGCUAUUACUGGCUGGCAAGUACAAAAUUUCUUUAUUAUUCAUAUUUCUUAUAUAACUUAUCUAAGCGUUUCCUUUUUCUUUUUCAAACCGCUCUCGCUUAAAUGGUAAAAUGGUGUAUUCCCAGUAAUGUUCCUCUUACAUUCAUCAGGGCGGUCAGACCCAUGAAAGUGCUUGUAAAAUGGUCAAUUACUGGAUAAACAUUAUGAACACGUGCAUCAUGUUAAUGAGUUAAUGAAGUAAACACUAAGAAGACACUAAUUACAAUGACCAUCAUCUAUCGUCUAUAACUGUGUUGAUCAGACUGUGGAAUGCAUGUAAUUUACACGAAGGUUUUUGAUGAGCAUUCCUGACCAAUUCCUUCCAAUUAAAAACUUGCUCCAUAUGCACAGACUGAAGCUAUCACAUUCGCUAUAGUGUCGAACAAAUAGCAACUUGGCAUGAUAUUUACACGCUAAAUGAAAAGCCUUUAAUGAAAAAGCUGCCUAGAGAACUACUG